UAUUUACAGACUGCCUUUGGAUCUGUUACCCAGGAGGAAGUGUAACUGAGAGAAGUGAAAUACAGAUCUAAGAGGAGACAGAGAGAUUCAGGGAGGAGCUAAGAUGUUCCUGAACUAUAGAAGAGAGAGGAACUUCCAUAUUCACCAGAGUUCAACACAGACCAUCAUCAUCACCUUCAUUCAACAUGCUCUCCCUGCAGAACUCAGCUUUUUCUCUGAUAUUGUCUGCAAUUUUAUCAGGCGUCAGCUGUGAAGAUCUGUCUCCAGUCAAAACAGAAGAGUUCAGUCCAGAAGGCAGCACUGUUACUCUGUCCUACAGAUACUCCAAACAAGCAGCUGGAACUGAUUAUUUCUUCUGGUAUCGACAAUAUCCAGGAGAACCACCAGAGUUCCUCCUGUCUAUCUCAGGGAUUAAUUUCACAAACAAAGUAGAAUCACUUAAAUCGGACACCAGGUUCUUCACUGACCUGUCUGAAGGAAAGAAACGAGUGGAUCUGCAGAUCUCCUCUGCUGCAGUGACAGACUCUGCUGUGUACUACUGUGCUCUGAGG